GACAAACCCAUCUCAUGGCUAGACAGACUCCACUCAGUCAAAAUGAACAUCCUCCCCAGAUUACUGUUCAUGUUCCAGGCCCUACCCAUACCGUUUAAGUGAAGUGACCUAUUCACACUCCAAAAAGCGAUUGACAUGUUAAUUUGGCAAAAGAAACGACCCAGAAUAGCUAGAAAACUCCUAUAUCGACCCAAGGACAGAGGGGGACUGGGG